rnacentral:tRNA from 1 species
GCCUCGGUAACUCAGGGGUAGAGUGACUGCUUCGUAAGCAGUAAGUCGGGGGUUCAAAUCCCUCCCGGGGCU